UACGUAGGGGGCAAGCGUUGUCCGGAUUUAUUGGGCGUAAAGAGCGUGUAGGCGGUUUGGUAGGUCCGUUGUGAAAACUCGAGGCUCAACCUCGAGACGCCGAUGGAAACCAUCAGACUAGAGUCCGGAAGAGGAGAGUGGAAUUCCUGGUGUAGCGGUGAAAUGCGCAGAUAUCAGGAGGAACACCGGUGGCGAAGGCGGGUCUCUGGGCCGUUACUGACGCUGAGGAGCGAAAGCGUGGGGAGCGAACAGG
rnacentral:rRNA from 1 species